GCCCCAGGGACAGGUCUGGCUCUGCACGGGAUGUCCCUCUGAGUGAGAAAUCCUGCGUUGUUGUGCUUUGGGAACGGUUCUUUCCACAUGGGCAAACGUGGGGCGGGGAUGGAAGGAACCCAACCAAUGUGGUGAUGAGUAGGCCCUAAAUUGGCAUGAAACAGCCACCAGCCUUCAAAUGAAAAGGCCGGCUAUUCUGACCAACAGGGCCCCUCCACCUGCCCACGGGACAGGAACCAGUCCAGGAGCACCACUGAUGAGUUCUACCUGAGAAGUCUGCUCCCUGGACAACUGAAGCCACCCAGCAUCCACUCCCCGUGUGCCCCUGGGGCAAACAACAGCCAGCAAGCAAUCCUGUGAGCUGUCCCACAAACCAACCACUGGUGCCUACACUGGACAGCAGAGGCUGCUGGCAGCAACGUGUUCCCUUCCUCCAAGCUCAGCUUGGAGUCAGAGAGACCUCAUCUUCAGGAGAUAAGAGCACUGCAGCGUGCCUACUUCCAGCCCAGAAGUCUAGGAAGGAACCCAGGGAAGAAGCUUUAUCAUGGCUCUUCAAGGAUGGCUGCUCUCCUGCUAGCAGCCGCAGCAGUCCCUGCCCAGCC
rnacentral:lncRNA from 1 species